rnacentral:rRNA from 1 species
UGGGGAAUAUUGCACAAUGGGCGAAAGCCUGAUGCAGCAACGCCGCGUGAGUGAUGAAGGUCUUCGGAUUGUAAAGCUCUGUCUUUUGGGACGAUAAUGACGGUACCAAAGGAGGAAGCCACGGCUAACUACGUGCCAGCAGCCGCGGUAAUACGUAGGUGGCGAGCGUUGUCCGGAUUUACUGGGCGUAAAGGGUGCGUAGGCGGAUGUUUAAGUGAGAUGUGAAAUACCCGGGCUUAACUUGGGUGCUGCAUUUCAAACUGGAUAUCUAGAGUGCAGGAGAGGAGAAUGGAAUUCCUAGUGUAGCGGUGAAAUGCGUAGAGAUUAGGAAGAACACCAGUGGCGAAGGCGAUUCUCUGGACUGUAACUGACGCUGAGGCACGAAAGCGUGGGUAGCAAACAGGAUUAGAUACCCUGGUAGUCCACGCCG